UACGGGGGGGGCAAGCGUUGUUCGGAAUUACUGGGCGUAAAGGGCGCGUAGGCGGCCUGCUAAGUCGGACGUGAAAUCCCUCGGCUCAACCGGGGAACUGCGUCCGAUACUGGCGAGGCUUGAAUCCGGGAGAGGGAUGUGGAAUUCCAGGUGUAGCGGUGGAAUGCGCAGAUAUCAGGAGGAACACCGGUGGCGAAGGCGGGUCUCUGGGCAGUAACUGACGCUGAGGAGCGAAAGCGUGGGGAGCGAACAGG
rnacentral:rRNA from 1 species